ensembl:lncRNA
GACUGCCGGAAGUGAUUGCGGGCUAAUCGGCGGCGUUUGCGGAGGCUGAAGAGUUUUGGGAGUCUGCACUAGUUGCUGCUUUUGGCGCGAAAAAUGCCGGGUCUGGCGGCCGCAAGCCCUGCCCCAUCUGAGUCGCAGGAGAAGAAGCCUCUGAAGCCCUGCUGCGCCUGCCCGGAGACCAAGAAGGCGCGCGAUGCGUGCAUCAUUGAGAAAGGAGAAGAGAACUGUGGACCCCUAAUUGAGGCCCACAAGGAAUGCAUGAAAGCCCUGGGAUUUAAGAUAUGAAAUGGUGAGCAUGCUACUCUCUUAUUGGGAAGGUAAUACAUAGGCUGAUUGCUUCAAAUUUGUGUAUUGCUUUACAGAUUUAGUGAUCAUUGGGCAGCAUUCUGUCUGAAAGGUAGUUCACCUGGUUAACCUAACAUGCCUAAGUAUCACUGGCAAGAUAACGUCUCAGUUUCUAGUGUACGGAAUAAAUGAUGCUAAUAAAUUGAGAGGGGUGGGACUUCCCCGGCUGUCUGGUGGUUAAGACUCCACGCUUCCACUGCAGGGGACCUGGGUUUGAUCUCUGGUUGAUAGGGAUCCUGCAUGAUGCAUGGUGCAGAUGAAAAAAAAAAAGUUAGAGGUGUUUGGUGGAUUUGGGAAGGGGAGAAUUAAGCUUUCAAGAAAGGGCUUGGCAAAAGCCUUUAGAGUUAUGUUGGAGACAGAGGAAUCACGGCUUAGGAAGUUCAAAAUAUUCAGUUGUCUGACUUAAAAGGGAAAUGUUCUCUAUUUUUUGUUUCUAAUCUUGUGAGUUUUUAGGACGUGUUUUUAAAUACGGAGUGGGCAGCACAUGGAAGCAUUGCUUUCUGCAAAACAGAAAUGGAAUUGUUGCAGUUUCUUUUGUACCAUGCUUUAUUCUAAUAAAACUAAAACCUCAGACCAUUGUCUGAAGAACUUUGAAUUCAAAUUUUAAUGCUGAAAGGGACCUUAAGUGAUGUGUAUACGAUACCACAAAUAAAUUAUCUCCUUUUGUUUGGAACCUCUUCCUUCAGAUAGCAACUUGACUUAUUCCCUCACUUCAGAUCUCUUUUCAGAUCUGUUUUCAAGCCUCCUAAUUGGAGAGGCUUUCCCUCAACAUUCCAUCUAAAAUAGCAUCCGUUCCCCAUCUAUCCCCACUCUAUCCUGGCACUGUCCAGUAGAACUUUCUGUGAUAAUGAAACGUUCUGUGCCUGCACUCUACAAUAUGGUAGCCACUAGCCAUAUGUGGCUGUGGAGCCCUUGAUAUGUGGCUAGUAAAGCUGAGGAACUGAAUUUUUUGUAUGUUUGUUUUUUUAUUUUAAUAGCCACAUAUGGCUAGUGGCUAGGCUACACCAUUGCCUGCAUAUUUUGUAUUUAUUUAUCAUCCGAAUUGCUUUACUUCAAUUAGAAUGUAAGUUCUGAGACAGAAAUUUUCUGUUUACUCACUGGCAUACCUCCAGGACCAGUAACAGUGCCUGGCACAUAGUAGGUGCUCAAUAGAGGAGUGUUAAAUCAAUAAAUGAGGAAACUAAGGCCUAUAGAUAUGAAGUGACUUCUUUUUUUUUUUGCGGUACGCGGGCCUCUCACUGUUGUGGCCUCUCCCGUUGCGGAGCACAGGCUCUGGACACGCAGGCUCAGCGGCCAUGGCUCACGGGCCCAGCCGCUCCGCGGCAUGUGGGACCUUCCCGGACCGGGGCACAAACCCGUGUCCCCUGCAUCGGCAGACAGACUCUCAACCACUGUGCCACCAGGGAAGCUCUGAAGUGACUUCUUAUAGGCAGGGUCAGAACUGGAACCUCUGUCUCCAGAGGCUCCCACUGCUUGGUGCUCUUACUCCCCUGUAAGAUCCACACCACACCACCACUUAUAACUUAAUAAUAGCUGAGAGAUAAUGCGAAAGCUACAUACCAAUGUAGGAGUAAUAGAGAGCCUGGCUUCUUUCCCUUUCACCUCUUUCCUGCCUCUUUGGAAUUUUACAUGUGGCCAGUCUUCCUCACUGAGCUGUGAAAAAGGAGGGAUAAGGAACCUGUCCCCAGCUGAUAAGAAGUAUCACUGUGUAGUGGAAAACAGUCUAGGCUGGAAGUCCUGAGGCUUAACUUUGCUUCUCCUGUUCUCUAGCUUAGCAUGUGUUUCACUUUAGCUACAUCUGUAUUCAUCAAGACAUUAAUCCUGUCUGGAUUUCACUUUUUUCAUUUAUAAAAAGAGAACCAUAAUAUAUUUUGUGAUUUUACACAUGGUAUGAUAUCUGUGUAUACAAGAUAUACUUAAGUGCCUUUAAGAUUAGAUGGUUAUUUAAAGAAAUCCCAUGGUGAAUCAUUUUGUAAAAUAAGUAAAUAUGGUUGUGGGGAGCUGUUCUUAAAAAGUUUUAACUAUUGAUUAUUUCAAAGACAUGAAAUCUCAACAUUUGUACAUGAUUUCCUUGUUCCUAAUCUAACUUUCUUCCUAGUCAGUUUUGUUAGCUGUUGCUUAGGGUUAAGCCUGCCUUGACAAAAAGGGUGAUUUUUAAAAAUGCUAAUUUUUAGGAGCAUCAGAAGUCUCUUGGACUUCAUGUGGACCUCACAGGUGAUACAAUUAUUGCUAUAACUAGCAUAUAUUCACGAGGACCAGAAGAUACCAUGGUUUUCUAUGUUAUUGGGACAGAGUAAGAGUGAUUCCUGUGUACUUCACUUGUGUAUAAAAGAAAAUGCAAGAGCUUUGGACUUAGAAGACCUGAUGUUUAACUGAUUGUACGAUCUUGGGCAAGUCCUUAACUUUCUGAACCUUAGUUUUCUCAUGUGUAAAGGAGAGAGAACAGUACAUGACCAAACUACUUCAUUAGAGUCAUUAUGAUGAUUAAAUGAUAUACGUGUGAAUAGGCCUUGUAAACUGUCAAAGAGAAACCAGAACAGAAGCCAUAUCUUGGGAGUCACGGAUAGCAGACAUUCUACUGAGGUCUGUUUAAUAUAUGUCCUGAUUAUUUUUGAAUCCUGGUUACAAAAAGAAGAAUCUGAAUCCACAUAGGGCCUUUCCAAGAAUUGAAAAUAAUCAUUUUUAAAUUUUCAGCAUAAUACUACUUUUGGAGGAAGAACAUAUGUUUGGAUCUACAUUGGUCCCAGGUGUCCUAUUUCCCUGGCCCCCAUGGGGAAAUGGAAGGACAGUGAAGUCAAAAAAAGACUUUCUCAAGUUAAGAGUGGAUAGGUGGUGGCAUUCAAACUAGAAUCUAGGUCUUUUUUACGCUCCAAAUCUCAAGCACUUUAUACUUCACUCCUUGCACUUAAUGAGAUUUUAUUCCAACAUAUUCAUUUUUAGGAUUACACAUAGUCUUGAACUUCAAUCCUAAAACUUUAUUUUGAAUGCUAAUUACAAAGACCUGUUGCUGAAAUGCAUACGUGUAUAUAACUCAGAAACCAGGUCAGUGACUGUAGGGUAAAAUCCAGUGCUACUGUCUGCACUGUUAUAAGGUAAACUUAACUAAAUUGGUAUCUCUUAGACUAUUAGACCACAUUUUUCCGAGGAUAGCUUCAAAGGAAAAAUAUUUUGCAAUCUUAGAUCUUCCCAGUAAUGAUCAUGAAACUUCCUUAAUUCAAAAACCUUUGUAGAUUUUAAUGUUAUUUUCUAAAUAAGAUAGAUCUUAAUUGUACCUUGAAUCCAGUAAAUUGGACUUAGUAUGAAAGCAAGUGUACCUUUAUAAUCACCCGAGGAAUGUUUUCCAAAAUUCACAAGCCUGAGCCCUGAACUGUACCGGUUGACUCAGAAGCUCCUAGAUAAUUUUCAAGUGUCCCCCUCUUUAAGAACCACUGGCUUAAGCUGAAGAUGUAGUAGGGAUGGUAUAAAUAAAUAUAAAUUGUCUAAAGAUUUAAUAGCAGCAAAGGCAGAGACUUGAAAACUACUCGUAAGGAAUAACAGGGUGUGAUGGUGGUGAUUCUAGUCACUUCUAUCUUUUGACUGCUUCUUUUACUGAAAGAGAAACUAGAGGAACCUAAAACCUGCUUAGAAAUGUAAAGAGGAAAUGGCAGCUGGUAUCUUUCUGCCUUUAGGAGCCAGGAGGAACCUAGAGAAUCCAGCUCGGGGGCUAAAAUCAUUGAAAGAAAUUAAAGGACCGGCACUGAGUGGUGGUGAUACUCCGUAUUUAUUAAGCUUAACAGAACUUAAUAGUUCACACACACAAAACGCACACAGAGACAACUGAUGAUGUAUGAAAAUAUGAUCUUGAGAGUCAAGAAAAAGGGUCAUUUCUGCUAUUUGAACAUUUAUUCAUUCAAUAGAUAUCUAUUGUUUAAAACUCUAGAAAAUGCCAAGAUGAGAAGACACAGGGUCUCUUCUGUCAAGGACUUUGUACCCAGAGGCUUUCAGUGGGUAGCCCCUCCUGAUGUAUAGUAGCCAGUAGCAAUGCUAUAUAGACUGCUAUCUCUUGAAAUGUUGAGUGGCUUCAUUUUUGCUUAUCUUUAAGUGUAUUCUUCCUUUGAGCCUUAGAAAAGAGAGAGUUUAUAUAUUUAUAUUGUUGUUAAGGUUUAUCUUCUUUUCUAAACCAAAUGCAGGGAAUAGCUAGGUGAGGGAAGCCCUUGAAUUAGACUUGAAGAGUUGGCUAGCCCAAAUUACUCAGUUACCUUUAUAGCAUUGUUCCUGUCUUCUGGGAUGGGGGAUGGGGGUGGGGGUGGCAUGGCUGCCAGCUGUCUGGAGAGAAGCCUGGUACACCAGCAGCCCCAUCCUCUGCUGCUCUCCCUUUUUGAUCUUUCCAAAUUCAUUUCAGAAAUGUUACCCUUACUUUGCCCUUGGGAUUGAGUAACUUUCCACAGGAGAUGCCUGUGUACAGAGCUGACCUUCUGCCUUCCACUUCAUGGAUCUUUGGCAAACACUUGAGUCAGAACGGAGGAGGCUACAGGUCUCUUCUCUUUAGUAUCUGCAAAAGUAAACUCCCUUAGUCUUUGGUGGAAGAUGUUUUUGAGAAAAUAAAUAAAUGUAUAGUUUUUACUUCAACAAAGACUUUAAAGGUUAAACCUUGUAAUGGAUUGAACAGUUUCUGUGAUGUUUUUAUUUAAACAGAACUAGAAUUUUAAAAUGUGGAUCUUUUGUUUCAUGACUGGUUUAGAAUAAUUAUGGCAGUUAGUUAAUAGUCCUCAGCUGAGGCAUUCAUUUCUAGCAUCUUUAAUUCCCUGACUCCAUAGGUCUGACAUGAUGCUUGAAACCUGUCUUUCUAAAAUACAUCUUUUUCUGCAGGUGGUCUGCUCUGGGAAUUAAUAAUUCCUGAAAAAUGAAGAAGACUUAAUAACUUUGGGAGCUCUUUGAUGAACAUUGAUAAAUUUAAAAGUAUUUAUAACUUAUUAAAAAAAAAGAGAAUAUCCCUGGUC